AUUGAACGCUGGCGGCAGGCCUAACACAUGCAAGUCGAGCGAGCGGCGGACGGGGGAGUAAUGUAUGGGGACUGCCCGAUAGAGGGGGAUAACUACUGGAAACGGUAGCUAAAACCGCACACUAUCGCAGAACCCACAUGGGAUUAGCUAGUAGGUGAGGUAAUGGCUCACACAGGCGACGAUCCCUAGCUGGGCUGAGAGGAUGAUCAGCCACACUGGGACUGAGACACGGACCAGACUCCUACGGAGGCAGCAGUGGGGAAUAUUGCACAAUGGGCGCAAGCCUGAUGCAGCGAUGCCGCGUGUAUGAAGAAGGCCCUAGGGUUGUAAAGUACUUUCAGUCGGGAGGCGUUACCGACAGAAGAAGCACCGGCUAACUCCGUGCCAGCAGCCGCGGUAAUUC
rnacentral:rRNA from 1 species